rnacentral:rRNA from 1 species
UAGGGAAUCUUCCACAAUGGACGCAAGUCUGAUGGAGCAACGCCGCGUGAGUGAAGAAGGUUUUCGGAUCGUAAAGCUCUGUUGUUGGUGAAGGAGGAUAGAGGCAGUAACUGGCCUUUAUUUGACGGUAAUCAACCAGAAAGUCACGGCUAACUACGUGCCAGCAGCCGCGGUAAUACGUAGGUGGCAAGCGUUGUCCGGAUUUAUUGGGCGUAAAGCGAGCGCAGGCGGUUUCUUAAGUCUGAUGUGAAAGCCCCCGGCUCAACCGGGGAGGGUCAUUGGAAACUGUUUUUCUUGAGUGCAGAAGAGGAGAGUGGAACUCCAUGUGUAGCGGUGGAAUGCGUAGAUAUAUGGAAGAACACCAGUGGCGAAGGCGGCUCUCUGGUCUGCAACUGACGCUGAGGCUCGAAAGCAUGGGUAGCGAACAGG